rnacentral:lncRNA from 1 species
UUGAAUGUUCUCGUUGAUCAAAUCCUCCAGUUCGCGUAGGUUCAUCAACAAAAAUGCCUUUGUCAAAUGUUCUCUUUCGUUUCCCUCAGCGUUCUGGCAGUCGGUGACUCUUUUUCUCAUUUUUCCUUCCAAUUCCAACAGGCUGUAUUCCAGAUAUUUCAACUUUUCGCUAGAUUUGGUGGCCCUCUUUUUUCAUUCAUUGAUUUUGUCAUCUAAUGGAAGAUUUCUCCACCAGUCUAGCAAGAGUGAGGGUGUGCUAACCAUACCGAAGUUGGGGACCUCGUUCCUCAUUUUCUGCAAAACAAAAAGGUUAGGUCUUACCCCCACCAGACUCAACUAUUUAGACAUUUAUGAUCUACAUAUCGACAUUUAGUUCUCCAAAUUAAUGCACAGAAUAUGAUUGUGCCCGUUGGGAUUACGGAAAACUCGAUGGACUUUGGAUAAGACUUAUCUUAAAGGAUCAUUAUGUGGACAACAUAAAUAAUCCGACUAGGUUUGACCAUGAUGCAUGCACAAUUUAACAAGAGUAAGGUUUCUAUGGGGNNNNNNNNNNNNNNNNNNNNNNNNNNNNNNNNNNNNNNNNNNNNNNNNNNNNNNNNNNNNNNNNNNNNNNNNNNNNNNNNNNNNNNNNNNNNNNNNNNNNNNNNNNNNNNNNNNNNNNNNNNNNNNNNNNNNNNNNNNNNNNNNNNNNNNNNNNNNNNNNNNNNNNNNNNNNNNNNNNNCUCGGCCGAACUUAAACUAUGUAGGAUUAUUCAAUUAAAUUAGGUUGUAGGUUGCUAAGUUGUGAAUUAAUCCUAAGUGGUCAAGUAUAUACAUCAAUUAAAAGCAAUUAGUUAAAACUAGUCAUGGAAAAAAUAUAAGAAUUGCAAAUCGUAGAAAGCCUACUUAGUUACAUAAAAGGGGACCUAAAUUUUUAAGCCUAAUGGAUCAACUCCCGUGCAAAGUCUGCUAAGACUUUUAUAGCCAAAAGUGCAAUGGCUAUUCGGGCAAUUUAUAUAUCAUGUCCUCUACCCUCAUUACUAUCUUUAAGUUGUUAACUUAAGAGCGCACUAAUUUUUUCUAAACCGCGUCUUAAUAGGUCUACUCGUCCCUUCCUAUAGUCCAGGAGGCUUUGGACACUAUUCUAAAGGGAUGGUUCUAGACUUAAAGAAAAUCUCAAGUUUCUAUUUCUAUUCUUAUUAGCGUCACAUAAAAGGGAGCACGUUAGGACUUAAACAAAUAACACAUAAGGCAAGUAAGGGCUCAUGUUGGCCUCUGAAUUAAGCAAUUAGUUAAGGAGUUCUCCAAUAAAAAAGAUGGUUCCGUAAUUUAAUACUGAGGUAUUAAAUAAAGUAAUAUAAAAUAAAAGAGGUAAGUUGAGUAAGGGUCCAAUCGCCGGAAGUGAUUUGAAGCAUAAAAUUGAGAGCAAGCUGGAAUGUUGGAUUUGAAAUAAGCACAAGUUCCAUUUCUGAUUCCGCAAAAUGAAGACUAGCUUAUAUACCAAUGUAGUAAAUGUCUAUGAGAUUAUCUUCUGGUGAAUGCCUAAGCUUAAAUAACUAGGAAUAAUCAAGAGGGUGGACCAAAAUAUUAUAAAAAUAUUCUUAGAUUUUAAAAUCAAAUAAACCCAAAUGCUUAUAGACAUGGGUAUCGAAAUUCUGUACACUGUGAAUGAUUACGAGCUCAAGUUAUUACAUAAAAAACGGAAAAUGGUCAAAACUACUGAUUUGCUAAAUGGUUUAUAAAUACCCUUCGUCCAUCUAUCAGUCCAAAAAAGCACACAACGUUAAUUUUAUUAAUAAAAUUACUCUCGCGUCUAACGGCAAAACAAACAAGCCUUUCAUAUAAUGAGGUGCCAUUUUUUUACUGGGACACGUGGCCUUUUCGGGAAAAAAUCAAACAUGGCUCUUACUUCAACGAUCCGACUUUACCCGGGUCAAAAACUUUACGUUAACCCAUCCUUUUGAACCCAAUUUGCUUCAACAAAGCGUCACCUAAUUUCAUGUUCUCUUGUCGAAUUGCUCCUGCACAUGCCAUUAAUGUUGGCCAAGUUGACUGAGACGCUCGCGUGGAAAUUGACUCGCUCUCAAAACUACCCCACAUACCACCACUCACCAAGAUUCGUGAGGAGGACGACAAUAACUCUGUUGUGGUUGUGGGUUUUAAUCUCUUGCUCUGUGGUUGUUACACCGGCGACGCAUGUAGUAAUCUAGUUGGAUUUUCAAUUUUGGGAAAAAUGGUUUUACUUGGGAUAAUAGUUAGAUUUGUUCUUUGAUGAAUAUUAGUUGUGAAAGAGGAAGAUUAAUUGGUAAAAGGUUCUUGUGGGUUGAGUUUAGAAUCAUAGAUUCGAGCCAAAGAUGAGAGAAGCAAGAAAUGAAAGAUUAUCUUGUUGAACACUACCCAUAACUUCCUCAAGCUGUUCAACUUUCUGAGCAACUUCAGCCAUGUCUGAUGCCUUCACUUUGUAACCCAAAAUAGCAAGCAUCUCAUCAUCAACUCAUGCAUCUUGCUCUGCUUCCUCCCACAUCUUUCUUUCCAGGUGUCCACCCGUGGCGGAGGUACAACCACCGGAAAAUGAUUUUUCCAGUUGUUGAUACGACACCGUUUGAUUAAUGUAAAUGUCUGAUGCCAUAAAAAAGGAUGGGUUAAUGUUAAUAUUUUGACCCAGGUAACAAACCCAAGAUACGUUAAUGGGUUAGAAAUAAGACCCAUGUUUGAUUUUCUGCCGAAAAUGCCAUGUCCAGUGAAAACAUACCAUCUCCUUAAAUGAAAGGCCCAUAUGUUCUGCCGCUGGACGCGAGGAUAAUUUUAUUAAUAAAAUUAACGUCAUGUAUUUUUAUGAACUAAUAGAUGGACGGAAGGUAUUUAUAAACCUUAACGAACCAUGGGGAUAGUUUUGACCCUUUUCGGUAUAAAAAUUGCUAGGACUGAUUAGCAAGUACAUAUAAAAAAGAACUUAUUUAAUAAUCACUUUAUAAAGUAAUGUCACAUAAUAAAUUCAUGCUAUUGGAUCAAAUGAGAAAUUCUAAGACAAGCAAGAAAAAUAAAGUAAACAAUUAAGCACAUAAUAGUCUCAUCCCAGCAAACCCAUUAACUAUAACGACGUCAUUACAAAGUCAUCAUAAAAACUGACUAUAAAGUUUAGGCACAAAUGAGCUUCAAACAAAUCCUCUCGGAACUUUUCCAAAUCCUAGGCAACUCCUCAACUCGUCUAAAUAUUCCUGUCAGUUCAAGCAUUCAAGUUAUACACCAAACAUGCAUGGAUAUGGAGUAUUCUUUUUUAACCACGAAAUAGACUUGCACACAUUAAAACUAAUACUUCCUAAAAGCAUACUCUCUAAUGGCGGAUUCAGGUCAUUUGCAACUUCAAACACAUAAGAACACACCGAGACACAGAACAUGGGCAGAUCUUCAACACGAUAAUUGUUUUUUUUAAGCAAUCGUUAAUAAUUAAACUACUUCCGAACAUAUGCUCUCUAUAAUGUUAAAUUCGCUGACACUCCGGACAGAACAUGGAUAUGGCAUGGACUUUUAGAAGUUAUCAGAUUUAUAAGAAAAACAAAAAUCCUUUUCCUGAAGACAUGAUCUCAAGCAAUUAAUUAAAGUUCCUUAAUUAUUCCACCAAACAAAGGAUAAUAAUAACAUGAAUUCAAACAUUGCCGAUUAUCGAUUGCAAGUUAUCUAAAAUAAUGGUUUUAUACACAUGAUAUCUGAAGAUAAAUACUCCUGGACAGUUAAACAUCCUAUUGACAUGGCAUCUAUAUGGCACGUAUUCAAACAUAUUCAGACGCAGUAGAUAGUGCAUAUACAGUGAUUAAGAGACGUACCUGGGCUUUUAACUUGGUAUGCAUUUCAAAGGAAUGCCGCACGGCACAUAACCAAGAACGAACAAAACGCAAAGGAAAGCAAAGAGAGACAAAAACUAAAGAAGACAACUAGUCUAUUCUAACAAACAACUAGCACGCCAAGGGAUAGUAAUGCGUCGUUUAAGAAACUAACCAGUUGCGCAGAGCAGAAUUGAUAAUAGAAGAUAAGAAAACCAGAAUUCCGAGCGUGGACAGCAAUGAAUAUAACCGAAUAUUCUCCAAAGUGUGUAGCAAUAUAUGCGAAAACUCGCACAGAAACAAUAAUAUAAAUCGAUAUCCGGAUCUCGACACUUCAAGAUCACCCAAAUAUCAAGAGUUCCGAGUAGUGACUAUGUCAAGCGUGUAUAAGGAAUUACGCUUUGCCUUGGCUUGUAGUCGGCAAAGCAGAGGAUCAGUGAAGGCUGAAAAUUGCUAUAGUAGUAGUGAAAACCGUGAUCAAAAAGUCCUCCCCUUAGUGCAUAUAAUUAGUCAGUAUUUAUAGUUAUGAAUUACACGUAAAUUCUGCUACUAGAAUGGAAAGAAAUUGUGUAAAAAUAAAGAAAAGAUUUUUUUUUUUCUUUUUAAGAAAGAGUCGUUGAGAAACUAAACAAAAUAACAGUAGUCUGCAAAUUAGAAAAGGAAAGGAAUGUAGAUUUUGAAUUCCGAGGGAAAAAAACGAGAUUAUAGCAACUAGCGAGAAGUUGGGGCUAGGUAUAUAUUCGGAAUAUCAAUUCAAAUUUGAACCAAUAUAGAGCCAUUGAAAAGGUAACAAAUCAAAGCUUUUACCUUAUAAUCUGUCCAAGUUCGUCCAAGAAGAAUCACCAUAAACCCCCAUGAUUUUGCUAUCGAUGCUCCCAAUGGAUAGCAAUAAAGGAGUGUGUUUGACUGACAACAAUUUUAAUCAAAACAAUAGUGACAAUAUCAACUAGGAAAUGAGAAGAAUUAGCAACAUUACGAACUUGAUUAAGGAAAGAAGUAAGAAAUUAAAAGGAAAAAGGAAAAGAUGUAAGAAUAACGAAGGGAAGAAGGAAAGAAAAAAUAUAAGGAAAUAUGUCAAAGAAUUAGAGAAAGAGACAAAAAUGGAGGCAAUGCUAACUUGCCAUCGAC